AACAGGAUUAGAUACCCUGGUAGUCCACGCCGUAAACGAUGUCGACUUGGAGGUUGUUCCCUUGAGGAGUGGCUUCCGGAGCUAACGCGUUAAGUCGACCGCCUGGGGAGUACGGCCGCAAGGUUAAAACUCAAAUGAAUUGACGGGGGCCCGCACAAGCGGUGGAGCAUGUGGUUUAAUUCGAUGCAACGCGAAGAACCUUACCUACUCUUGACAUCCAGAGAACUUAGCAGAGAUGCUUUGGUGCCUUCGGGAGCUCUGAGACAGGUGCUGCAUGGCUGUCGUCAGCUCGUGUUGUGAAAUGUUGGGUUAAGUCCCGCAACGAGCGCAACCCUUAUCCUUUGUUGCCAGCGAUUCGGUCGGGAACUCAAAGGAGACUGCCGGUGAUAAACCGGAGGAAGGUGGGGAUGACGUCAAGUCAUCAUGGCCCUUACGAGUAGGGCUACACACGUGCUACAAUGGCGCAUACAAAGAGAAGCGACCUCGCGAGAGCAAGCGGACCUCAUAAAGUGCGUCGUAGUCCGGAUCGGAGUCUGCAACUCGACUCCGUGAAGUCGGAAUCGCUAGUAAUCGUGGAUCAGAACGUCACGGUGAAUACGUUCCCGGGCCUUGUACACACCGCCCGUCACACCAUGGGAGUGGGUUGCUCCAGAAGUAGCUAGUCUAACCUUCGGGAGGACGGUUACCACGGAGUGAUUCAUGACUGGGGUGAAGUCGUAACAAGGUAACC
rnacentral:rRNA from 1 species